rnacentral:rRNA from 1 species
UACGGAGGAUGCAAGCGUUAUCCGGAAUGAUUGGGCGUAAAGCGUCUGUAGGUGGUUUUUAAAGUCUUCUGUCAAAGAUCAGGGCUUAACCCUGGGUCGGCAGAAGAAACUUAAAAGCUGGAGUCUGGUAGGGGCAGAGGGAAUUCCCGGUGUAGCGGUGAAAUGCGUAGAGAUCGGGAAGAACACCAAUGGCGAAGGCACUCUGCUGGGCCACGACUGACACUGAGAGACGAAAGCUAGGGGAGCAAACAGG